rnacentral:rRNA from 1 species
GGCGUCGAGCGGCGGACGGGUGAGUAAUGCCUAGGAAAUUGCCCUGAUGUGGGGGAUAACCAUUGGAAACGAUGGCUAAUACCGCAUGAUGCCUACGGGCCAAAGAGGGGGACCUUCGGGCCUCUCGCGUCAGGAUAUGCCUAGGUGGGAUUAGCUAGUUGGUGAGGUAAGGGCUCACCAAGGCGACGAUCCCUAGCUGGUCUGAGAGGAUGAUCAGCCACACUGGAACUGAGACACGGUCCAGACUCCUACGGGAGGCAGCAGUGGGGAAUAUUGCACAAUGGGCGCAAGCCUGAUGCAGCCAUGCCGCGUGUGUGAAGAAGGCCUUCGGGUUGUAAAGCACUUUCAGUCGUGAGGAAGGUUUAUGCGUUAAUAGCGUAUAGAUUUGACGUUAGCGACAGAAGAAGCACCGGCUAACUCCGUGCCAGCAGCCGCGGUAAUACG